rnacentral:rRNA from 1 species
GAUGAACGCUGGCGGCGUGCCUAAUACAUGCAAGUCGAGCGAAUGGAUUAAGAGCUUGCUCUUAUGAAGUUAGCGGCGGACGGGUGAGUAACACGCGGGUAACCUGCCCAUAAGACUGGGAUAACUCCGGGAAACCGGGGCUAAUACCGGAUAACAUUUUGAACCGCAUGGUUCGAAAUUGAAAGGCGGCUUCGGCUGUCACUUAUGGAUGGACCCGCGUCGCAUUAGCUAGUUGGUGAGGUAACGGCUCACCAAGGCAACGAUGCGUAGCCGACCUGGGAGGGUGAUCGGCCACACUGGGACUGAGACACGGCCCAGACUCCUACGGGAGGCAGCAGUAGGGAAUCUUCCGCAACGGACGAAAGUCUGACGGAGCAACGCCGCGUGAGUGAUGAAGGCUUUCGGGUCGUAAAACUCUGUUGUUAGGGAAGAACAAGUGCUAGUUGAAUAAGCUGGCACCUUGACGGUACCUAACCAGAAAGCCACGGCUAACUACGUGCCAGCAGCCGCGGUAA